GUGUUCCUACGGGACGCAGCAGCGGGGAAUAUUGCGCAAUGGGCGAAAGCCUGACGCAGCGACGCCGCGUGAGGGAUGAAGGUCCUCGGAUCGUAAACCUCUGUCAGCAGGGAAGAACGGUCACUGUGCUAAUCAGCAGUGAAUUGACGGCACCUGAAAAGGAAGCACCGGCUAACUCCGUGCCAGCAGCCGCGGUAAUACGGAGGGUGCGAGCGUUAAUCGGAAUUACUGGGCGUAAAGCGCUCGUAGGCGGUAUGUCCAGUCAAGG
rnacentral:rRNA from 1 species